rnacentral:rRNA from 1 species
CCCUUAGAUGUUCUGGGCCGCACGCGCGCUACACUGACUGCUCCAACAAGUUACCUGGGCUGACAAGCAUCUGGGAAAUCUUGCAAAGGCAGUCGUGAUGGGGAUAGAUUCUUGUAAUUUUUGAUCUUCAACGAGGAAUUCCUAGUAAACGCAAGUCAUCAGCUUGCAUUGAUUACGUCCCUGCCCUUUGUACACACCGCCCGUCGCAUCUACCGAUUGAAUGGAGAGGCAAAAUCUUCGGACCGUGACGCUUGGGAGUCAAAUCUCGGGCUGUCGUGGGAAGUGGAUUAAACCUUUCUAUUUAGAGGAAGGUAAAGUCGUAACA